rnacentral:rRNA from 1 species
GAGCGAACGAUGGGAGUUUGCUCCCUGAAGAUUAGCGGCGGACGGGUGAGUACACGUGGGUAACCUGCCUGUAAGAUUGGGAUAACUCCGGGAAACCGGAGCUAAUACCGGGAUAACAUUUUGAACCGCAUGGUUCAAAAUUGAAAGAUGGUUUCGGCUAUCACUUACAGAUGGACCCGCGGCGCAUUAGCUAGUUGGUGAGGUAACGGCUCACCAAGGCAACGAUGCGUAGCCGACCUGAGAGGGUGAUCGGCCACACUGGGACUGAGACACGGCCCAGACUCCUACGGGAGGCAGCAGUAGGGAAUCUUCCGCAAUGGACGAAAGUCUGACGGAGCAACGCCGCGUGAACGAUGAAGGCCUUCGGGUCGUAAAGUUCUGUUGUUAGGGAAGAACAAGUACCAGAGUAACUGCUGGUACCUUGACGGUACCUAACCAGAAAGCCACGGCUAACUACGUGCCAGCAGCCGCGGUAAU